GUGGGGGCUGGUUGUUGGGAGGAGAAGAGCUCUUUCUUGUUCUCAGUUCACCCCUUUCUUGAAACUCUCAGAGUGCAGAACCAAAAAAAGAGCUCCGCAGGCCUGGAGACACCAUGUUGACCAUCUCCUGUGUGACGCAUCCUGUGGAUUUCAUCAAGAGGCUUUUCUGGAGACCGAAAGUGGUGGAUGGGACUCUCAGCAAGCGUGCACUGAGCUCAAGAAUCCGGCUGUACCAUGAGCCUUCUUCUUGCGGCUGCUGAGGUUGGUGUCACUCUACGGUCAGCCUUGGGUUUUGAAAGGAUGGGAAAGGCACAAUUUCUGAUUAUAUCAAGG
rnacentral:lncRNA from 1 species